UACGGGGGGGGCAAGCGUUGUUCGGAAUUACUGGGCGUAAAGGGCUCGUAGGCGGCCAACUAAGUCAGACGUGAAAUCCCUCGGCUUAACCGGGGAACUGCAUCUGAUACUGGAUGGCUUGAGUUCGGGAGAGGGAUGCGGAAUUCCAGGUGUAGCGGUGAAAUGCGUAGAUAUCUGGAGGAACACCGGUGGCGAAGGCGGCAUCCUGGACCGGCAUUGACGCUGAGGCGCGAAAGCUAGGGGAGCAAACAGG
rnacentral:rRNA from 1 species